CGCACAAAUUCCAUCCGAGAUAAUUGAGGUAGAAGCAACACUGCAGAUUGAUUAGUCUACAAACCAUGACAAAGUUUUUCAGUAUCCCUAUUCAUUUGUAGUCAGACAAUGAAUCGUUCAGCCUUUGUAUCUCGCAGAGAAUUGAGGCAGGAGCAGGACAAGAGAUGGCAGCAAUCACUGAAGUCAAGUCAUCUGUUUCUAUGGAUGUCGAGAAAAGUAAGGAAGUAUCAGGAAAAAAUAAUAUGUCAGCCAGCAAGUAACCUGUUUCUACGGAUGAGGAGGAAAUGGAUCUCAACAUCGAAUCAACCAAUGUUGAUGAUUUUGAUAAUAGGCCUCUAAAAAAGGCCAAAAGUUCUAAAACAUGUGUUUCAGAUGAUCCAUUGUCAUCUUUUACCAUCUCCACUGCAUCUAUCGCUCCGAAAUGUUCUGACUCUGUUAGUUUAGAAUUGAAUGUUAGUUUAGAAUUGAUGAAUGAAGAUCCAUUGCCUCCAUCACCAAACCAACUGGCCUUAUCUCCGGUUUCAGCGGAAGAUGAUAAACAUAUAACAAAUAAUUUAACAUACGAGUAUCUCCAAUAAGGUAAAAUAUUGCAUUGUUUAUGUUUGUGUAUUUAU